GCACCACAAGAGCGUGGAGUAUGUGGCUUAAUUUGACUCAACGCGGAAAAGCUUAUCUGGUCCGGACACAGUGAGGAUUGACAGACAGUUGGCAGGAGUGGUUCUUGGUAAAAACAAAUGAGAGAGUUGAAGUUCUUUCAUGAUCUUGUGAGAGGUGGUGCAUGGCCGUUCUUAGUUCGUGUAGUGAUAUGUCUGCCUAAUCGCGUCACGAUAACCUAUUGGUCGACAACCCAAUUAUCACAACUGCAGCAUAACUCCCCUUGGGUGGGCGAGGCUCUGUGUAGGAUAGACCUCUGAACAGUACGCAACGAACGCGAUCGUAAUCCCUUGUUGAGUGGCCAUCCUGUAAGCUGCUGGAUUUGAAACCCAGUGGUAUUAUCUCAGCCACAGAUUUUCUGGUUGUAAUGGGCCAUUUUGAAACUCGGGGAACAUCUGUGACUUUCUUUCUUAACGCA
rnacentral:rRNA from 1 species